ACGUGCUACAAUGGCGCAUACAAAGAGAAGCGACCUCGCGAGAGCAAGCGGACCUCAUAAAGUGCGUCGUAGUCCGGAUUGGAGUCUGCAACUCGACUCCAUGAAGUCGGAAUCGCUAGUAAUCGUGGAUCAGAAUGCCACGGUGAAUACGUUCCCGGGCCUUGUACACACCGCCCGUCACACCAUGGGAGUGGGUUGCAAAAGAAGUAGGUAGCUUAACCUUCGGGAGGGCGCUUACCACUUUGUGAUUCAUGACUGGGGUGAAGUCGUAACAAGGUAACCGUAGGGGAACCUGCGGUUGGAUCACCUCCUUA
rnacentral:rRNA from 1 species